AGGAACAAAGCGACAGCCGUCUGCUGGUGAGCUGGGCUAAUCCUGUUAAACAAUUCACAGAUCUGACGCCGGACACGCUUUUUGAAACCUGAGGGAGUGGCACAAACGGAAUCCGCGUGGCCGACGUGAGCCUUUAUUUAGAAUAAUUCCAGAUAAACAGCUCUGUGACCCGAUGCAGUCAGCAUCAGGCCUACCCCCGUGUCAGCACUGGGAGCUCCUGGAAGGAGGGCCGGCUCUUGGAUGUGGGGAUUGGCUGGGACUUUUUUCAGUUGAAAGGGUCAAAGUAGCGUGGAGUGACGUCUCAGGGGUCCUGUGUGUACAGAACCCGGCCCAGAGCCUCUCACAGCCGGUUACAGGAUUUGAUGCUGAUACUAUGAUGGUGUUUUGCUGACACAGGAAUGCAGGCUCAGGAGCUGGUGUGAAGAUCCUUCCACAAUGCCUGCUACUCGAGCAUCCAGAACUAAAGCACUGAGUCCUUCUUUGUUCCAGGAACUUCCUUGAUUUAAUUUUUCCGAUUGGUGGGUGCUUCUAAUUGGAGAACCUUCCAGAAAGCACAGCCUUUGAGAAGUGGCUGGAUGGCCAAAGGGCUGCCAAUAUUCCCACCUGCCUUCCUCUACUCUGCCAUUCUGACUAUAAAAUCCCCCUGAAGAAACCUUUGUCAGGUCUGAUGCAGGCAGAGUAUGUGGGGAGGUGUUGGGAGUCAGGGCUGAGAAUGCUAGAAGCUUCAUCGCAGAGACAAGAGAAGAGACAGCUGAGUGAGAGACAGUGAGUCAAGAGAGCUCAGCGGAUGCCAAACCUGGAGCAGAUGGAAGUAGGAUGGCAGAGGCCCCAGGGCUUGCAGAAAUCGUGGGGAAGCCACAGGGCACCCCACAGGCACAAGCGAGGGUGCUGGAAUUCAUUUUUACCAAACCUUGCACCUGGCUUACCUGUGAAUCCCAGGGGCUACAGAGCAGCAGGCACACAGCUGGUGGUGGAGGCACAUCUGUGCGGAGGUUCACUGUGGUCUCCAGCCUGGAGCACAGACAUCCCAACCCGGGCUGCAGGGUGAGCACUCGAGUUUGGGGCUCAGAUGGUGGGCUGGCCUUAUGGAACAGACAAGAACUGAGGAGAUUUUCACCGCUGCUGGAGUACCGGACUGACGGGAGACAGAAGCUGUGCGUGGACUGAUGGGAGACGGAAGCUGUGCGUGGACUGAUGGGAGACAGAAGCUGUGCGUGGACUGAUGGGGGACGGAAGCUGUGCGUGGACUGAUGGGGGACGGAAGCUGUGCGUGGACUGAUGGGGGACGGAAGCUGUGCGUGGACUGAUGGGGGACGGAAGCUGUGCGUGGACUGAUGGGGGACGGAAGCUGUGUGUGGACUGAUGGGAGACGGAAGCUGUGCAUGGGCCACCACCCCUUCAGGGGCACAGUUGCCACUGGCAUGCCUGAGAGUUUGUUUUUAAAAGAAUGUGGCAAUAAACAUACGUGUGCAUGUGUCUUUAUA
rnacentral:lncRNA from 1 species